CCUACGGGGUGCUGCAGUGGGGAAUAUUGGGCAAUGGGCGCAAGCCUGACCCAGCAACGCCGCGUGAAGGAAGAAGGCUUUCGGGUUGUAAACUUCUUUUCUCAGGGACGAAGAAAGUGACGGUACCUGAGGAAUAAGCCACGGCUAACUACGUGCCAGCAGCCGCGGUAAUACGUAGGUGGCAAGCGUUAUCCGGAUUUACUGGGUGUAAAGGGCGUGUAGGCGGGAAAGCAAGUCAGAUGUGAAAACCAUGGGCUCAACCUGUGGCCUGCAUUUGAAACUGUUUUUCGUGAGUACUGGAGAGGCAGACGGAAUUCCUCGUGUAGCGGUGAAAUGCAUAGAUAUCACGCAGAACUCCGAUUGCGAAGGCAGCAUACCGGAGCCCGACUGACGCUGAGGCACGAAAGCGUGGGGAUCGAACAGGAUUAGAUACCCCGGUAGUC
rnacentral:rRNA from 1 species